rnacentral:rRNA from 1 species
UGUGUAGGCGGAUGCCUAAGUACCUUGUGAAAUCCCACGGCUUAACCGUGGAACUGCUUGGUAUACUGGGUGUCUUGAGCCACCUAGGGGCGAGCGGAACAGAUGGUGGAGCGGUGAAAUGCGUAGAUAUCAUCUGGAACGCCAACGGUGAAAACAGCUCGCUGGGGGUGUGCUGACGCUGAGACACGAAAGCCAGGGGAGCAAACG